ensembl:lncRNA
AGCACUUCAGAGUGUAUAACAUUUGAGCACUUCAGAGAGUGUGUGACUUUUGAGCACUUAAGUGAGUGACUUUUGAGCACUUCAGAGUGUAUAACAUGAGCACUUCAGUGAGUGUGACUUUUGAGCACUUCAGAGUGUAUAACAUUUGAGCACUUCAGAGAGUGUGUGACUUUUGAGCACUUCAGAGUGUAUAACAUUUGAGCACUUCAGUGAGUGUGUGACUUUUGAGCACUUCAGAGUGUGUGACUUUUGAGCACUUCAGAGUGUAUGACUUUUGAGCACUUCAGUGAGUGUGUGACUUUUGAGCACUUCAGAGUGUAUGACAUUUGAGCACUUCAAUGAGUAUGUGACUUUUGCAAAGCAACUCUUUCCCUCCCUGUGGGGCAGUUCAGGUCCCGGUGCAUGUUUGUGUGUGUGUGUGUGUGGCAGGUGUCCGCCGUGUAAAACACACUUUAGUGGACUUAUCAGAACUGUUUACAGGGUCUUUAGCUAGUUGCUUUAGAAGUGUCAGAGAUGUUCUGUUGAAGUGUGCAGUGGUCAGAGGUGCUCUGUUGAAGUGUGCAGUGGUCUCCCAGUGGUCAGAGGCGCUCUGUUGAAGUGUGCAGUGUUAGAGGUCCUCUGUUGGAGUGUGCAGUGGUCAGAGGCGUUCUGUUGAAGUGUGCAGUGGUCUCCCCCAGUGUCAGAGGUGUUCUGUUGAAGUGUGCAGUGGUCUGUUGAAGUGUGCAGUGGUCUCCCAGUGAGGUGUUCUGUUGAAGUGUGCAGUGGUCUGUUGAAGUGUGCAGUGGUCUCCCAGUGAGGUGUUCUGUUGAAGUGUGCAGUGGUCUGUUGAAGUGUGCAGUGGUCUCCCAGUGAGGUGUUCUGUUGAAGUGUGCAGUGGUCUCCCAGUGAGGUGUUCUGUUGAAGUGUGCAGUGGUCUCCCAGUGGUCAGAGGCUCUCUGUUGAAGUGUGCAGUGGUCUCCCAGUGUCAGAGCUGUUCUGUUGAAGUGUGCAGUGGUCUCCCAUUGUCAGAGGUGUUCUGUUGAAGUGUGUGCACAGGUGUGUAAUCUGUCUGGCAGAGAUGAUGUGUGGGUGUGUGUGAGAGUGUGUAUAUCCCUUCGGCGGACUGACCCGAGGGCGUGACCCGAUACUCUUUAAACUGCUGUAAUAUAAAUUACGACGUUACGACACUGGGCAAAGUAUCAUCGUAUCAAAUACUGUUGUAAUAUGAGUGAUACUGUAAUGUUGUUGUUGUUUGGAUACAAUGUUGUAAUUAACACUGGAGACAAUCCUAUUGAAUUAGUACUUAUUUCCAUGCACCCGUGGGUCUUUUCAUAAUAAUAAUGGGUUUCCUGUGUUGAUCAUGAUGCCUCGUCACACCAGACGUCCUGUUGUGGUCAUGGCGACAAACAACAGAUUGUAAUCGUACAUAAUAACAUGGACACCUAAAGCAUGCACACAGACACACACUCUCACACUCUCACUCACAAACACACACACACACACACACAAACACACACACAGACACACACUCACACACACACACACAGACACACACUCAUACAGACACACACUCAUACAGACACACACUCUCACACUCUCACUCA